AUUGAACGCUGGCGGCAGGCCUAACACAUGCAAGUCGAGCGAGCGGCGGACGGGUGAGCAAUGUAUGGGGAUCUGCCCGAUAGAGGGGGAUAACUACUGGACACGGUGGCUAAUACCGCAUACUAUAGGAUGAACCCAUAUGGGAUUAGCGAGUAGGGGGGGUAAAGGCUCACCUAGGCGACGAUCUCUAGUUGGUCGGAGAGGAUGAACAGCCACACUGGGACUGAGACACGGCCCAGACUCCUACGGGAGGCAGCAGUGGGGAAUAUUGCACAAUGGGCGAAAGCCUGAUGCAGCCAUGCCGCGUGUAUGAAGAAGGCCUUAGGGUUGUAAAGCACUUUCAGCGGGGAGGCGUUACCCGCAGAAGAAGCACCGGCUAACUCCGUGCCAGCAGCCGCGGUAAUUC
rnacentral:rRNA from 1 species